CACAGAUGAAAGUCGAAGUGCAGGCUCUGACCGGCCAUUGAGCUCAGUAACAAAUAUAAGGAACUCUAUUCGAGACCCUGGAUAUUGUCGAUACCACUGCAAGGUGUUAACACGUCCACUGUAAUCACAGAACAAUUACAGACUAUUGUGGUGAUUAUGUGCUGGAUUUUGAGACUAGAUGAACUUUCCUGUCACUGUGGGCUGCAGAGCACAGUAGUACAGCACAGAGUCUGAUACAGCAGCAGAGGAGAUGAUCAGAUCCACAUGAUUGUUAUUAUGGAGACUGGUGGACAUCUGUGGAAGAGGUGGACUAGCGGGC